GACGUAGGGCGCGAGCGUUGUCCGGAUUUAUUGGGCGUAAAGAGCUCGUAGGCGGCUUGUCGCGUCGACUGUGAAAACCCGCGGCUCAACUGUGGGCUUGCAGUCGAUACGGGCAGGCUGGAGUUCGGUAGGGGAGACUGGAAUUCCUGGUGUAGCGGUGAAAUGCGUAGAUAUCUGGAGGAACACCGGUGGCGAAGGCGGCAUCCUGGACCAACACUGACGCUGAGUGAGCGAAAGCCAGGGGAGCAAACGGG
rnacentral:rRNA from 1 species